rnacentral:rRNA from 1 species
CUACGGGAGGCACCAGUGAGGAAUAUUGCACAAUGGGGGGAACCCUGAUGCAGCAACGCCACGUGGAGGAUGACGCAUUUCGGUGUGUAAACUCCUUUUAUAUGUCAAGAAAAUGACGGUAGCAUAUGAAUAAGCACCGGCUAACUCCGUGCCAGCAGCCGCGGUAAUACGGAGGGUGCAAGCGUGUACUCGGAAUCACUGGGCGUAAAGGACGCGUAGGCGGGUUGGAAAGUCAGGUGUGAAAUCCUACAGCUUAACUGUAGAACUGCACUUGAAACUUCUAAUCUAGAGUAUGGGAGGGGGAGAUGGAAUUAGUGGUGUAGGGGUAAAAUCCGUAGAUAUCACUAGGAAUACCUAAAGCGAAGGCGAUCUCCUGGAACAUUACUGACGCUAAGGCGUGAAAGCGUGGGGAGCAAACAGGAUUAGAUACCCGAGUAGUC